UAAGGAAUAUUGCGCAAUGGGCGAAAGCCUGACGCAGCGACGCCGCGUGGGGGAUGAAGGUCUUCGGAUUGUAAACCCCUUUCGGGAGGGAAGAUGGAACGAGCAAUCGUUCGGACGGUACCUCCAGAAGCAGCCACGGCUAACUUCGUGCCAGCAGCCGCGGUAAUACGAAGGUGGCAAGCGUUAUUCGGAUUUACUGGGCGUACAGGGAGCGUAGGCGGUUCGGUAAGCCCUCUGUGAAAUCUCCAGGCUUAACCUGGAACAGUCGGAGGGGACUGCUGGGCUAGAGGACGGGAGAGGAGCGCGGAAUUCCCGGUGUAGCGGUGAAAUGCGUAGAGAUCGGGAAGAACAUCUGUGGCGAAGGCGGCCUGCUGGGCUGUUGCUGACGCUGAGGCGCGAUAGCGUGGGGAGCAAACAGGAUUAGAUACCCUGGUAGUCCACGCCGUAAACGAUGGGUACUAGGCGCCGGGGGGAGCGACCCCUUCGGUGCCGUCGCUAACGCAAUAAGUACCCCGCCUGGGGAGUACGGCCGCAAGGCUG
rnacentral:rRNA from 1 species